UCUGUCAACACAGGUAAAGGGCUUAGCCACAGAACUGAAGUGACAGCCUUUCAGUUCCAGGGUAAAGCUAGCCCAUAUCUGUAAACCUGGAAGUCGAGGAGAAACUACUGAAUCAUUCGGCCACGCAGCUAGAGUUUAGAAGAUAAAAGAACAACAACACAGCAGGCAAGACAUCGGAGUGUGCAGCAUCCUCAAACUUGCCAGCAAAUGAGCAGAUCCUCUGCACCCCCUAAGGACUAUCUCUGACACCAUGGUGGAAGCCCAACGAACCUCAUCCCCUGGCUUCGGGACCAACUUUAUCAACUUCAUGCACAGCCAAAAGGCAAUUCUUCUGAUAGUUGAGGUUAUAUUCUGCAUAGUGGUUCUGUGCUGCUUCAAGUAUGUAGAAUACUACUACCUGUCGGGGGCUGAGUUGGCCCUUGGUAUUUUCUUCCUUGUCAUCUACGGAGGUAGCCUGCAAAACAGCAUAUCCUGGAUCAGCUGGCCCUGGUGUGAUUUCCUCCGAACCUUUAUAGCAGCGAUCCUCUACCUGAUCUCCUCCAUUCCUGCCCUUGCUGUGAGAGGAAACCGCGCUGCAACCAUGGAAGGGGUUAUGGGCCUAUUCGCUGUAUGCCUCUUUGGCUAUGAUGCCGCUAUCUCUUUCCCCUCAAGGCACUAAUAAAGACAUACAGCAACCUCUAUUGACCUGCA